rnacentral:rRNA from 1 species
GAUGAACGCUGACGGCGUGCUUAACACAUGCAAGUCGAGCGAAGCACUUUGGAAAGAUUCUUCGGAUGAUUUCCUUUGUGACUGAGCGGCGGACGGGUGAGUAACGCGUGGGUAACCUGCCUCAUACAGGGGGAUAACAGUUAGAAAUGACUGCUAAUCCCGCAUAAGACCACGGUACCGCAUGGUACAGUGGUAAAAACUCCGGUGGUAUGAGAUGGACCCGCGUCUGAUUAGGUAGUUGGUGGGGUAACGGCCUACCAAGCCGACGAUCAGUAGCCGACCUGAGAGGGUGACCGGCCACAUUGGGACUGAGACACGGCCCAGACUCCUACGGGAGGCAGCAGUGGGGAAUAUUGCACAAUGGAGGAAACUCUGAUGCAGCGACGCCGCGUGAAGGAUGAAGUAUUUCGGUAUGUAAACUUCUAUCAGCAGGGAAGAAAAUGACGG